AUGUUAAAACUGCUUUAUGUGAUCUUGGAGCCGGUGUUAGUGUUAUGCCUUUCUCUUUUGUAUUGUAGACUUGAUUUGAAUAAGUUGACACCUACUGAAAUUUCUUUGCAAAUGGAUGAUAAAUCAACUGUUAUACCCAUCGGUAUUUGUGAGGAUGUGCCUGUGGUGGUUGCAAACGUUACUAUCUUAACGAACUUUGUUAUUCUUGAUAUUCCCAAGGACGACAGUACGUCGAUCAUCCUUGGUAGACCCUUUUUGAAUACUGCAGGGGAUGCUAUUGAUUGCAACAAAGGCAAUGUCACUUUUCAUGUUAAUAGUAAUGAGCAUAUGGUACACUUCCCGAAGAAACAACCUCAAGUUCAUAGUAUCAAUUCAACUGGAAAAUUUUUAACUAUUACUAUUGGAGGUUUUGAAUUCCCUCUUCCCAUUGUCAAAAAGAAAUAUGAUAUUCUUAUUGUUGGGGACAUGCAUAUACCGGUUGAGGUAACCUAG
rnacentral:rRNA from 1 species